rnacentral:rRNA from 1 species
AUGGCGAGCCCGUCGAGCAGCCUGUGGGGCGCCCAAGGGCAAGCCUCCACCAUGGCGCAGCUGAUGGGCGUGGACGCGCUCGGGCUGGUCUCCAUGGUCGUGCAGGCCGCCCUGGUGGCGCGCCGCCACCGGGAUGCCUGCGUGCGGCUCGCGCAGCACGUGGAGCUCGUUGGCGGCCUGCUCGGGGAGCUGGAGCUCGCCGAGCUGAUGCGUCGGGAGGCCACCAGGCGGCCGCUGGAGCAGCUCGGCGGCGCGCUGCGGCGGUGCUACGCGCUGGUCACGGCGUGCCAGGACUGCGGCUACCUGCGCCGCCUGCUCCUGGGAGCCCGGAUGGCCGAGGAGCUCCGCGCCGCGCAGCAUGAGAUCGACAUGUUCAUCCACCUCAUCCCGCUCAUCGCCCUCGUCGACAAUUCCACUGCAGAUAGUCGCCGUGUCAAGCAGGCUGAUGAGGGGGUGCUCACUGUAGUCACAGAUAGUUCAAAUCGUCACAUCAGGAUUCCAAACAAAGGAGCUACCAAACUCUGUGGUAUUGGAGAACACCCAUUUGUAGGAAAAGUGGACCUGCGAGAACAGAAUAUCGUUGACAUUGAAGAACUUGUGGAGCUUUGUACCCGUAUGGAAGAGGCUUGCGCAGGAUUCACAAGGUUCGAUUUCUGUCAGAUCUUGGAUGCUACAGAAAAUUUCUCAGAGAAGAUGAUAGUUGGGUGGGGAGGAUUUGGGAAGGUGUACAAGGGCCAGUUGCCUGGUGGACUUAAUGUUGCCAUCAAAAGAGCUGAUGAGCACGCAGCAAUGCUUGAAGUCAACAGUGAAUUGCAGCUUGCAAAGCUUCAGCAUGCCAAUGUGAUUAGGUUAUUGGGGUGGUGCAUCCAUGGGAAAGAAAGGAUUCUAGUGUAUGAGUUCAUGCAAAAUGGUUCCUUGGAUCGUUACCUAUGCGUAUGUAUGUGCACGAAUGCAAACCGUCUACGAUUAAAUCAAGGCUACAACAACCCUAAUUCCAUGGGCCAAUCAAGCAGGACAAUAGAAGUAACCAUAACGAGUCCAGCUCCAAUGUCGACUAGAGUUCGAAUCAUUCUAGACUCGGAGGUUUGA